GGCUAUCCAGAUAAAGUUAAGAGAGUUAAGCUCCUACUGUACUACUGAUGUCACUCAUCUUCUCUGGGUGUUCAACCAUCAAAACGCAGAGACCAACACCACAAGGAACACAUGAGGACACUUACCAACCAGGCAGUCACAGAACUCGUCAUAGCGGGGUGUCAGCCACUGCGGCAGAGGGAAGAGGCCCCACCUACUGCUGCCCCCGCCAGAUCCAGGAAUUAGUCUAGCUCAGAAAAAUCUCUGAGAGCCAAAGCUCCUUGUAACAGUCCAGAUGUACUGCCAACAAACAAAUAAACUGACAAGUGGCCAAGG